rnacentral:rRNA from 1 species
AGAGUUUGAUCCUGGCUCAGGAUGAACGCUAGCGACAGGCUUAACACAUGCAAGUCGAGGGGCAGCGGGGGUAGCAAUACCCGCCGGCGACCGGCGCACGGGUGAGUAACGCGUAUGCAACUUACCUAUCAGAGGGGGAUAACCCGGCGAAAGUCGGACUAAUACCGCAUGAAGCAGGGAUCCCGCAUGGGAAUAUUUGCUAAAGAUUCAUCGCUGAUAGAUAGGCAUGCGUUCCAUUAGGCAGUUGGCGGGGUAACGGCCCACCAAACCGACGAUGGAUAGGGGUUCUGAGAGGAAGGUCCCCCACAUUGGUACUGAGACACGGACCAAACUCCUACGGGAGGCAGCAGUGAGGAAUAUUGGUCAAUGGCCGAGAGGCUGAACCAGCCAAGUCGCGUGAGGGAUGAAGGUUCUAUGGAUCGUAAACCUCUUUUAUAAGGGAAUAAAGUGCGGGACGUGUCCCGUUUUGUAUGUACCUUAUGAAUAAGGAUCGGCUAACUCCGUGCCAGCAGCCGCGGUAAUACGGAGGAUCCGAGCGUUAUCCGGAUUUAUUGGGUUUAAAGGGUGCGUAGGCGGCCUUUUAAGUCAGCGGUGAAAGUCUGUGGCUCAACCAUAGAAUUGCCGUUGAAACUGGGGGGCUUGAGUAUGUUUGAGGCAGGCGGAAUGCGUGGUGUAGCGGUGAAAUGCAUAGAUAUCACGCAGAACCCCGAUUGCGAAGGCAGCCUGCCAAGCCAUGACUGACGCUGAUGCACGAAAGCGUGGGGAUCAAACAGGAUUAGAUACCCUGGUAGUCCACGCAGUAAACGAUGAUCACUAGCUGUUUGCGAUACACUGUAAGCGGCACAGCGAAAGCGUUAAGUGAUCCACCUGGGGAGUACGCCGGCAACGGUGAAACUCAAAGGAAUUGACGGGGGCCCGCACAAGCGGAGGAACAUGUGGUUUAAUUCGAUGAUACGCGAGGAACCUUACCCGGGUUUGAACGCAUUCGGACCGAGGUGGAAACACCUUUUCUAGCAAUAGCCGUUUGCGAGGUGCUGCAUGGUUGUCGUCAGCUCGUGCCGUGAGGUGUCGGCUUAAGUGCCAUAACGAGCGCAACCCUUGCCACUAGUUACUAACAGGUGAUGCUGAGGACUCUGGUGGGACUGCCAGCGUAAGCUGCGAGGAAGGCGGGGAUGACGUCAAAUCAGCACGGCCCUUACAUCCGGGGCGACACACGUGUUACAAUGGCGUGGACAAAGGGAAGCCACCUGGCGACAGGGAGCGAAUCCCCAAACCACGUCUCAGUUCGGAUCGGAGUCUGCAACCCGACUCCGUGAAGCUGGAUUCGCUAGUAAUCGCGCAUCAGCCAUGGCGCGGUGAAUACGUUCCCGGGCCUUGUACACACCGCCCGUCAAGCCAUGGGAGCCGGGGGUACCUGAAGUCCGUAACCGCGAGGAUCGGCCUAGGGUAAAACUGGUGACUGGGGCUAAGUCGUAACAAGGUAGCCGUACCGGAAGGUGCGGCUGGAACACCU